rnacentral:lncRNA from 1 species
UGAGGGUCAGAGAACCAGGAGCAGAUGUGGUGUUGAUUCCUAUCAGAAAUCAGUGACAGGAGGUGAGCUCCAAAAAGAUGUCUAUGAUGGCAGCAGCGGACUUUCUGUUGGUGUGAAACCGCAUGUGUCUGGUCAGGGGGCAGGCCACCAGCACUGGCCUGGGCCAUAUCACGCCAGAUGAUGGGCAGCUCCCACUCUACCUCCCUGUCAGUCCAUCCUUCAUACCACCAUUGGGGUGAGCUUUCUGAGAUGGACGUUCUAUCAAGUCAAACAUUUCCAUACCUGUCUGUCACCUACAGGGAUGUCAAAAUGUUGUAUAGCACUCUGACUGUUGGAGAUUCGUGUCCCCACCCACCUUUGCACCUUUAUCUACCUGAUGCAAGUCAAACUCAGGAAGAUACCACAGGCCUGUUCAUCCUUUAGGGGAAACUAAACCACCCUCAGAUUCUUGGAUGUGUCCUUUCUCUUCUCAUCUCUGUGCUUUGUCCUAUCCAAUUCCACUGACUUGAAUUCCCAAGGUGCUCCUCUCAGCUGUUGGCAGCAGUGACUGCCUGGUGUUGGCAUCGAUUAUAACACUUACUGCAAUGUAAUUGGCUGUGUCUCUGCCUCUCCUACUAGAUAGGGACCCUUCCAAGAGCAGAGAACAUGUUAAUCCAGUUUUGUAUCCCUGGUUCUAGUGCAGUGCCUGAAACAGAAAAUGCUCAGUACAGGAAAAAUUGGGCUAUGGGCAGCAAAGAGUUUAAUCCAAGUAGGAAAUUCCAUUGUAGCCCUCCAAAUGUCAUUCAGCUCAGCCAUUUCAUUCAUUUAUUUGUAUGAAAUUUAUUGAAUUUGAUUGAGAUUUAUUGAACUUUUAUGAGUCACCAUGAAUUAGAUCACGUUGCAGUAACAAAGAACUCCAAAAUCCUAAUCAUCGAAAAAAAAAAAAGUUGAUUUGUCACUAGGGCAGCAUCUCCAACAUGGGUUAGUGGAUGAAUGAUACUCUACACAAUCUGGGAAGAGAUUCCACCACCUUAUGACUUAAACAUUUGGAGUUCAUGGUCUUAGCUGCAAGGAAAGGAAGAAAGCACAUGUCCCUCCUGCUCCCCAGAUCACUGAUCAGGCUAGACACAGAGCACCCCCCAAUAGCAUAGAAACUGGGAAAUGUGGAGAGUUAAUGGCAAAUACCUGGUAAGUGGUACUAACAUUGUCAUAAGCACUGAUCACAUUCAAGAUAUUGAACUAAGCACUGUCGAUGUCCCUUUAGGAGUUCAGAGUCAAAUGGAUGAUAAUACUUUGGAUAUGAACAUAAAAAAAAAUGAGAAGGCAGAAUGUGCUGCCAGACUUUUCAACUACAGUGACCCUCCCAGGAAUGAGCCCACCACAGGAAACAAAGACUCAGUGCCAAGCUCAUGAGUCCAUGCGUUUAAUCCAGCCUCCUCAAUACAAUGCCCACGUCUGUGCCAUCAUCCUUCAGGCUGAUGGUUACGGGGGGUUGCUCUUUCUCUCAGGUCAGCCUAGAUACUGAGAGGUCCUCAACCUCAUUUCCCCCUUUUGGAUAAAUGUUCUGUUACGAAUCCUCCCUCUCUUCUCCUUUCCCUUCUUGAGGCAAGCUGUGUUCCUUUUUCUUGAGAGCUGACAUCUUAGCUCCUUCUCUGCUCAAGGAAGCUGGCAGCCUAACACAAAGCCAGAGUUCCAUAUGAUCCCGUGAGGCUGAGAAUAAAAUCGAAUCCCCCCCUCACAUCAGGGAACCUUGAGAUUUGGAGACUCAAAAAUAUCCUGGCAGAAGGUCCCCAUAAAAAUGUAUAAAUAACCACAUUCUUACUCUGGCUCCUGUUCUCUGUGUUGAGGCACCUGGCACAAGGGUCAAGCAGAAGUUUGUUUUUCAUCCUUCUCUUUUAUUCGCCACUUGGCCUCCCUUUUUCACCCUCUGCCAAUUGUCUGGUGACCUUCUGUCACGGAAAGUGACUCAGGCUCUCCUUCCAUGUCUGUCCCUUCCAGGCAGGCUCUUGUUUCUUGCCUAGCCCAAACUGUCCCUCCGCCCAGUAAAUACGACCUGUCCUGAAUCUCCUUUCUCCUCAGAUGACCUGCACAAAAGGCACCAAGAGCCCUGGCCUGACCAACUGCUCGAACACCAAGAGGUACAAGAUUAUUUGUGGGAUCCCAGGGCCCGGGCUGCUCUCAGUUAGGAGAGGGAGGUCUGGCCAAGCCAAGUGGCCAGCUGGCUCUCUUGGCUAUAAGUCACUGUCAGCUCUCUCUCAUGUGUGGGUCUGGAAUAUGAAUGGGCUUAGAAGUACAGAGUGAAGAGAGUAAAGACCUCAGAGGGCCACCUUGCGCUUUUCUCCUGUAUUAGCAGCAGACACAAAGAAGUUUGUGACGGAGAGCCGUGAAUAAAGCAUAUUUUUUCAGAGCCAGCUUCCUCUGUCAACAUUUCCCCUUUCCCUGUGCUUCUUAAAUGCACAUUUCAUUUGCUACCUGUUAAUGGAUGAGUGCAUUUUUAGAAAGAGCUGCUCAGAAAGGACUAAGGAGAAUUUCAAGGAAUGAACACCAGUAGCUGAAUUUCAGGCAUCUGUGAUUAUGUCACAGAUGUCCUUCAGGACUGAGGACCUCCCAACAAGUCUGAAAGCAGACUACAUGGGCCAGGCAGCCAGCCUUGACCUGUCAAGUGGCAUACCUGAGAUUUCUAUGGAAGACAAAGCCAUGAAACUAGUGUUUUGUUAUAAUAUGAAGGAAACAGACAAUUCACGGGGAGUUUCUGACUCACCCAGGGAGAAAGUAGAAGCCAGGUGGGGGAUUUGCAAAGAGCAGGUGUAACAGCUGCUAAGUAUUUAAAACCUACUACCCAAGUGAACAGUGAGGUGAAAUGCAAAUAAUUCACAUAACACUGAAAAAGCUACUCAGCUUUUCUGAACUAAACCUUUCCUGGACAACAUUAAUGUUGGAUGAGACCUUAGAAGUUAUCCAGUCAAAUGCCUGAUCGACAUGGGAGUCCCCUUUCCAAGGUUUCAACCUGUCUUGAUCACACUCAGACAUGGGUGUUCAAGAAACAGACUUGGAGUUCCUACUGGGGCUCAGUGGAAAUGAAUCAGACUGGCAUCCAUGAGGACACAGGUUUGAUCCCUGGCCUUGCUCAGAGGGUUAAGGAUCCAGCAGUCCAGCCUUGCUGUGUGCUGUGGUGUAGGUCACAGACAUGGCUCCGGUCCCAUGUUGCUGUGGCUGUGACAUAGGCCAGCAGCUAUAGCUCCAAUUCGACC